GAGCCUCCCCCACGCCCAAAUUGCAGAGGAAAAAAGUUACCACUUCAGUCGUUAAGAGAUUCAUGACAGAAAUAAAGAGAAACACUUACCGAAACUAAGUGAGCACUAACCGCGUGUAAAAACGAAAGAAAUUAAAUGAAUUAGAGAAAAAUCAAGAAGAAGAAAAAGAAGAGAAAGAUGGAAAAACUCAGAGAAUUUCGGCAAGAGGAGAGUAUGAACAAUAGACAACAUAUUUUUUUUUGGAAAAGAUAGUCAAAAUUCGGUUAUG
rnacentral:lncRNA from 1 species